ensembl:lncRNA
GGAGAACAUAAAACACACUAGGAAGAAGGCCAUGGGAAAGACAGAGGCAGAGAUUGGAGUUAUGCAGCUACAAGCCAAGGAAUGCCAAGGAUUGUCUAUAGCACCAGAAUCUAGAAGAGAGACUUGGAACAAAUUUCUCCCUCAGAGCCUCCAGAAGGAACCAACCCUGCCAACACCUUGAUUUCUCGAACUGGCCUCCAGAACUGUAAGAGAAUACAUUUCUGUUGUUUUAAGCCAUGAAAUUUGUAGUAUGUUAUAGUAUCUCCGGGUAACUUAUUUUCAAAGCCUACCACUUUGCCUUUUCUUACAACACACUGGGGAGAGGGAAAAGAAAACAGAUUAUCUGGCUGAAUAAGUAUGUCAUUUUCCUCAGGCACUGAUUCUGUUUCUGCUGUAGCGACUUCUGCUUCCCUGUGCAGAUCUGCAUCACCUUUUUUUGAUAGUCAUCAAUUCUCCUCAGCAUUAUGUAGAGGUUCUGGGUCUCAACCUCUCCCAGUAUUCUGGAUGGCUUGUAACCAUUUAAUUAUGUUGUUUCUUGGAAAAAUUAACAAGAAUGAGAUUCAUAUAAUUACUGACACUAACUCAGCAAACCUGGUGUCACCAGUCUCAUCUCAUCCUUAGUAAGUAGAGAGAGAUAGUAUAGGGGUGGCAGGCUUGCUUAAUGAGACCUUAAUCUAGUUCCCUAUAUGACUAAACUUUCAAAACUCUAUAUGACUGUCAAAUUUUCAUUAACUCCUCACACAGUUUUUAGUGUUAAAAUAGUGUUGCUUAUUAUUUUUUUAAUAUAUUAUAUUUUAGUAUUGAUAUGUAUACAACAUAUAGAAGGUACUUAAUACAAUUAUGAAAAAGAGUGUCCUUGCCUUCAAAGCACUUACAAGCCAGAUUAGGAGACUAAUAAAUUGUGUCAGAGAGAGAAUGAAAUAAAUGCUAAAUAGCAAUUUAGUUGUUUGAGCAAAAAGGAAAACAUAAUUAAUUCUAACAAGAGGAAUAAAGAAUGCUUCAUAGGAAGACAUUGAAUAGGAUCUUGAGGAACAGUCAUAAAAAUGUAGUACCCUCUUUACUAUAAUGUAGUAGGCCACAAUGUUUGGGCCUCCAAAACAUGGUUUUUUGCCAUCCCUAUUCUACAAGAGAGGAAAAGGAUUCUGAGCAAAGUUAAAUAAUUUUCUAAAGUCACAUAAUUGAUAAAUAACAGAUUUGGGAAGCAAACCCAGAUCUUUUCUCUUUCCACAAUACAAGUAUUUCUCAAAGUGUGGACCCUAAUCACCUGGACUGAAUCAUUUUGUUGGGGGUGGGAGGGUGGUGCUUGUUGAAAAUGCAGAUUCCAGGGUGCAUCCCCAGACCGUUUGAAUAAAAAAUCUUGGUGGUAAGCUUCAGGAUCUGUAUUUUAAAAAAAAUCUCAGGUAAACCUUACAGCCACUGAAGUUUGAGAAAAAGGGGAUGAAGAAUUCCACGUUGAGGGAACACUAUAAAUAAAGGCAAGACAAUGAAAGUUAUAUUUUGGGAGUGGUGAGUAGUCUGGAACUUUUAGACCACAGAUAUGUGAAAGGAUAUAGUGGGGGAUGAGACUGACAUAGCUGGAUCAUGAAAGCAUAUGACAUAUGCUGGAUCAGCAUAUUAUGGAGUUUGGAUUUUGGGGGAGGUAGGCAAUGGGAACGCACUGAAGAUGUUUUUCUGAAUAUAUGUAUUUUGCAUAUAUAUAGAGAGGGGGAAGGGAAUAACUCUUAGGUCUCUUUGUGGGUUGUAAUAGCUUAGAACCUACUGUAUAUAUGGAUCAUUUAAUACUUAAAUAUAUUAGCUUUCUGAGUUAAUUUUAUAUUUUUUUAUUAUUAUUAUUUUUGGCUGCGUUGGGUCUUCAUUGCUGCGUCCGGGCUUUCUCCAGUUGUGGUGAACGGGGGCUACUCUUUGUUGCGGUGCAGGGGCUUCUCAUUGCAGUGGCUUCUCUUGCUGCAGAGCAUGGACUCUAGGUACGUGGGCUUCAUUAGUUGCAGAACGCGGGCUCAGUAGUUGCGGCGAGCGGGCUCUAGAGUGCAGGCUCAGUAGGUGUGGCACACGGGCUUAGUUGCUCCAUGGCAUGUGGGAUCUUCCCGGACCAGGGAUCGUCCCCUGCAUGGGCAGGCGGAUUCUCAACCUCUGCGCCACCAGGGAAGUCCCCUUGCAACCAUUCUUUGAAGUAAUUAUCAUUACAUCAAUUUUACAAAUUUGAGUCAGCACAUUUGAGUCUUAGAGAAGUUCAGAACUGGAAAUUCGAGCCAAGGUCUUCCUGACAUCAGAGAAAAAGCAUGAUCAGAAUUUGGAUAUAAAACUAUUACUACCCUCCUACACUGUUGGUGGGAAUGUAAAUUGGUGCAGCCUCUAUGGAGAACAGGAUGGAGGUUCCCUAAAAAACUAAAAAUAGAGUUACCAUAUGAUCCUGCAAUCCCACUCCUGGGUAUAUAUCUGGAGAAAACUCUAAUUUGAAAAGAUACACAUUCUUUUGAAAAGAUACAUGCACCCCAGUGUUCAUAGCAGCACUAUUUACCAUAGGCAAGACAUGGAAGCAACCUAAAAGUCCAUCAACAGAUGAACGGAUAAAGAUGUGGUAUAUAUAGACAAUGGAGUAUUACUCAGCCAUAAAAAGAAUGAAAUCAUGCCAUUUGCAGCAUAUGGAUGGACCCAAAUUUUAUCAUAUUAAGUGAAGUAAGUCAGACAGAGAAAGACAAAUAUCAUAUGAUAUCACUGAUAUGUGACAUCUGAAAAAAUGGUACAGGGAAUUCCCUGGUGGUCCAGUGGUUAGGACUUCAUGCUUCCCUGCUUCCACUGCAGGGGACACGGGUUCGAUCCCUGGUUGAACUAAGAUCCUGCAAACCACAUGGCAUGGCCAAAAAAAAAAAAAGAUAAAAAUGAACUUAUUUACAAAGCAGAAAUAGACUCAUAGACAUAGAAAACAAACUUAUGGUUACCAAAGUGGUUACCAGGGGUUGGGGGAGAUGAAUUAGGAGUUUGGGAUUAACAUAUACACACUACCAUAUAUAAAAUAGGUAAACAACAAGGACCUGCUGUAUAGCACAGGAAACUAUACUCAGUAUCUUGUAAUAACCUAUAAUGGAAAAGAAUCUGAAAACGAAUGUUUUCAUGUAUAUAUAUGUAUAUAUAUAUUUAUAUAUGUAUAACUGAAUCACUUUGCAACGAACACAACGUUGUAAAUUAACUAUAUAUU